rnacentral:rRNA from 1 species
GAUGAACGCUGGCGGCGUGCCUAAUACAUGCAAGUCGAGCGAACAGACGAGGAGCUUGCUCCUCUGACGUUAGCGGCGGACGGGUGAGUAACACGUGGAUAACCUACCUAUAAGACUGGGAUAACUUCGGGAAACCGGAGCUAAUACCGGAUAAUAUAUUGAACCGCAUGGUUCAAUAGUGAAAGACGGUUUUGCUGUCACUUAUAGAUGGAUCCGCGCCGCAUUAGCUAGUUGGUAAGGUAACGGCUUACCAAGGCAACGAUGCGUAGCCGACCUGAGAGGGUGAUCGGCCACACUGGAACUGAGACACGGUCCAGACGCCUACGGGAGGCAGCAGUAGGGAAUCUUCCGCAAUGGGCGAAAGCCUGACGGGGCAACGCCGCGUGAGUGAUGAAAGGCUUCGGAUCGUAAAACUCUGUUAUUAGGGAAGAACAAAUGUGUAAGUAACUAUGCACGUCUUGACGGUACCUAAUCAGAAAGCCACGGCUAACUACGUG